rnacentral:sRNA from 1 species
AGAAAUGCUUCCUGCAUAAUGAGAGCAGUUAAUCAUGGAAACUGGGCUAUUCCUGUUUGUGCACUUCUAGCAAUCUUCUGUUGUAAAUAUUAAAAGAGAGCUCCCUGGACCAUCUAAUGGCUAUGGGAGAUGAUAAAAGCUUCGAUGAUGAAGAAUCAGUGGAUGGAAAUAGGCCAUCAUCAGCUGCUUCAGCCUUCAAGGUUCCUGCACCUAAAACAUCCGGAAAUCCUGUCAACAGUGCAAGGAAGCCUGGUUCAGCAGGUGGCCCUAAGGUUGGAGGUGCUUCUAAAGAAGGAGGUGCUGGAGCAGUUGAUGAAGAUGAUUUUAUAAAAGCUUUUACAGAUGUCCCUUCUAUUCAGAUUUAUUCUAGUCGAGAACUCGAAGAAACGUUAAAUAAAAUCAGGGAAAUUUUGUCAGAUGAUAAGCAUGACUGGGAUCAGCGUGCCAAUGCA